AAGACAUAGUAGUGGUCUCGAAAAGGUUAGCCCAGCUUACUGGAAUCGCAACACAUAUCAGAAACCAAUUGAACUUUCCGAAACUAGUGGCAGAAACAGCUGUCUCGAAAUCUGCAGGCUUUUGUUCUGAAAAUGCAAGACUGCGGGGCAGACUGACCAGUUCAUAUUCGAUUUGCUGACACCUGACAGGCCCACUCGUCGUAAAUCAGCCCCACAAACAACUGAAAAGAUUCCGGAAAGAAAACAUAGGCAAGACAAUGCUUCUGAUGAGGAUUAUUCGUCUGAGGAACUGACAGCGAGGUAUCAAUUGAAGAAACAAAUUGAAGAAACGAAGGGGGAACUUGAAAUUUUGAGAGGCAUGCUGGUCGAUAAAAAAAUCUUGCUCAAAACUAUGGAACAAGUGCUCUAUCCAUCUGAUGCUGGUAAAGACUGGGAUGUGGAUUACUACUGAGAUUUAUCUCUAUUUUUCUUGUUAAAUCGAAUUAAUAAAAUGAAAUUAACUAAU